rnacentral:lncRNA from 1 species
GGGACAGAGGGGACACUGGAGGGGGCAGGGGGCAGUUGGGGAUGAAGGGGACACAGAGGGUGGUGAAUGGGACAGGGGGUCGCAAAGGGCACAGGAGGCAGUGGCAGGAUGGCAGGAAAGGGGAAGGUGACAGAGAGGGAAGAGGACACAAGGGGGAGGGGGCAGAGGGAUAUGGAGGGAACAGCGGGGUGGGGCACGGAGUGUGGCAGAGGGAACAAGAGGCUGACAAAGGGACGGAGGCGACAAAGGGAACCCUCGAUGGCAGGGGGCUACCCCAGGAGGCCGUAAGUGCCACCAGGUCCCUGACACCUCCUCUCUCCCCUCCCCAGCUGUCCCUGGCUCUGCUGCAGCCACAGGUCACUGUGGUGGCCAUCCUGGGCGAGCUGCUGGCCACCCUGCUGAGGCGGGCUGAGAUGACGCUGCUCGUGUCCGCAGUGAGCCUGUACCGGGACCUGGAGGACUUCACUAGGGAGCUCCAGGCCACUCUGUAUCCCAUGGAUGGCACCUGGUGGCGUCCAGAUGUCCCUGUGGAUGAUGAUGACCCUCCCGUCUCCCUCAGCCAGGCCUUGGCUGUCUACAAGAGCACCCCAGUUUCCACCUGGUUUGAUGUGAAAAUGGAGGCCAGCGAGUGGCAGCGGUCAGUGGAUGUGGUUGUGGACAGGAGGGCCCAGCUGGCCAGGAAGGCCACCAAGCUCUGCAACACCUGCAGGGUGAUGGUCACUGAGGCAGGCUACAGAGCUGCCACUGCCACUGCCCGGGCCAGGGAACUGCAGGACGAGGCUGCCCGUUAUGGGACAGCUCAGGAAAACAUGGUGGAGCUGGGUCAGGCCCUGGGCAGGGAGGAGGGGGCCAAGGUGGUGGCCAUGCAUGGAGCUCAGGUGAGGAGAGAGGCCAGGGUGGCUGCCAGAGAGGCAACAAGGGCCACCAUGGUGAGACAGCGGCUGGAGGUGUCCCUGGGGCUGCUGGAGCGCUUGGUGACUGCAUGUGACGAAGCCACUGCGUUCCCCCGGGAGCUGCAGCGCCUGCUCUGGGUCACCAGGGCCAUUCUGAAGGGGACAAAUGAGUUGUAUCCCAGUGUCCCCAAUGCCUUGGUGGCCAAGGUGGCCGUGGCCGAGCAGCUGUGGAAGACCAACACCCGCCUGGCCAAGGAUCACCUGGGGAAGACACUUCCAGCCGUCAUUGAAUUCUUGUUCCCUGGUGGUCUUGACAGCCCCAGUGCCUGUGGGGUGGCCGAGCGGUGCCAAAGAGCCACUG